CAGAAGCAGGUAGCUUAACCUUCGGGAGGGCGCUUGCCACGGUGUGGCCGAUGACUGGGGUGAAGUCGUAACAAGGUAGCCGUAUCGGAAGGUGCGGCUGGAUCACCUCCUUUUGAGC
rnacentral:rRNA from 1 species